GAUGAACGCUGGCGGCGUGCCUAAUACAUGCCAGUCGAGCGAACAGAUGAGGAGCUUGCUCCUCUGACGUUAGCGGCGGACGGGUGAGUAACACGUGGAUAACCUACCUAUAGACUGGGAUAACUUCGGGAAACCGGAGCUAAUACCGGAUAAUAUAUUGAACCGCAUGGUUCAAUAGUGAAAGACGGUUUUGCUGUCACUUAUAGAUGGAUCCGCGCCGCAUUAGCUAGUUGGUAAGGUAACGGCUUACCAAGGCAACGAUGCGUAGCCGACCUGAGAGGGUGAUCGGCCACACUGGAACUGAGACACGGUCCAGACUCCUACGGGAGGCAGCAGUAGGGAAUCUUCCGCAAUGGGCGAAAGCCUGACGGAGCAACGCCGCGUGAGUGAUGAAGGUCUUCGGAUCGUAAAACUCUGUUAUUAGGGAAGAACAAAUGUGUAAGUAACUAUGCACGUCUUGACGGUACCUAAUCAGAAAGCCACGGCUAACUACGUG
rnacentral:rRNA from 1 species